rnacentral:lncRNA from 1 species
UCUCUACAUAGAUAAUAUACUCCAUGAUACAUGGUUUUCUUGCUUUGGACAAAAUAGAUGAUUUGGCUAAACAGACGGUGGAUACAAGGAAGCAUCUCCCCUAUCAUUAGUAUAUUGCCUUUUGAAGAUAGUGCUGACUCUCCGUGUAACCACUGCCAACGUUGAGAGAUGUUUUUCAGCUAUGAAGAUUGUGAAGUGCGUAACACAACUGGCGAUGAUUAUUUGAGCCAUAGCGUAAUUUGCUUCGUGGAAAAGGACUACUGGAUAAAAUUACUAAUAAAGAUAUUUGAGCCAUCGUUUCCGUAAUAUGAAAGAUCACCGUGGGAGAAAUGAAAUGUAAUGAUCCAAUACCUUACACCUCCUGUUUCUUUACCAUUUCCAUUAGUAUUUUAAUUGAUAAUACUAAUAUGUGUUUUUUCUUCAUAGAAAGCAACAUUUAUGUUAGAGAUGAAUACUCUCUUUUUUGCAAAAUAUGAACUAUUUGGAUUUAAAGUCUUUUUUACAAGGUAUGUUCACUUUAGUGAUAAAUGAUACGUCUCCAACGUAUCUAUAAUUUUUUAUUGUUCCAUGCUAUUAUAUUACCCCUUUUGGAUGUUUAUGGGCUUUAUUUUACACAUUUAUAUCAUUUUUUGGACUAACCUACUAACCGGAGGCCCAACCCGUAUUGCUAUUUUUUUGCCUAUUUCAGUCUUUUGAACAAAAGGAUUAUCAAACGGAGUCCAAACGGAAUGAAACCUUCGGGAGCGUGAUUUUUGGAAUGAACGUGAUCCAGAGGACUUUGAGUGCAAGUCAAGAAGCAGCCGAGGUGGCCACGAGAGGGUAGGGCGCGCCCACCCCUACAGGGCGCGCCCCCUAUCUCGUGGGUCCCUCGGGCGGCCACCGACGUACUUGUUCCUCCUAUAUAAGCCUACGUACCCCAAAAUCAUCCAGGGAACCAACGAAACACAAUUUCCAAUGCCGUAACCUUCUGUAUCCACGAGAUCCCAUCUUGGAGCCUUUGUCGGCGCUCCGCUGGAGGGGGAAUCGACCACGGAGGGCUUCUACAUCAACACCAUAGCCCCUCUGAUGAGUUGUGAUUAGUUUACCACAGACCUUCGGGUCCAUAGUUAUUAGCUAGAUGGCUUCUUCUCUCUUUUCGGAUCUCAAUACAAUGUUCUCCCCCUCUCUUAUGGAGAUCUAUUCGAUGUACACUCUUUUUGCGGUGUUUUUGUCGAGAUCCGAUGAAUUGUGGGUUUAUGAUCAAGUUUAUCUAUGAGAAAUAUUUGAAUUUCCUCCGAAUUCUUUUAUGUAUGAUUGAGUUAUCUUUGCAAGUCUCUUCGAAUUAUCAGUUUGUUUUGGCCUACUAGAUUGAUCUUUCUUGCCAUAGGAGAAGUGCUUAGCUUUGGGUUCAAUCUUGCGGUGUCCUUACCCAGUGACAGCAGGGGUAGCAAGGCACGUAUUGUAUUGUUGCCAUCGAGGAUAAAAAGAUGGGGUUUAUAUCAUAUUGCUUGAGUUUAUCCCUCUACAUCAUGUCAUCUUGCUUAAUGCGUUACUCUGUUCUUUAUGAACUUAAUACUCUAGAUGCAGGCAGGAGUCGGUCGAUGUGUGGAGUAAUAGUAGUAGAUGCAGGCAGGAGUCGGUCUACUUGUUGCGGACGUGAUGCCUAUAUACAUGAUCAUGCCUAGAUAAUCUCAUAAUUGUUCGCUUUUCUAUCAAUUUCUCGAAAGUAAUUUGUUCACCCACCGUAAUACUUAUGCUAUCUUGCGAGAAGCCUCUAGUGAAACCUAUGGCCCCCGGGUCUAUAUUUUAUCAUAUUUGCUUCCAAUCUACUUUUAUUUGCAUCUUUACUUUUUGCAUCUAUAUUAUAAAAUACCAAAAAUAUAUUUAUCUUAUCAUACUAUAUCUAUCAGAUCUCACUUUCGCAAGUGGUCGUGAAGGGAUUGACAACCCCUUAUUGCAUUGGUUGCGAGUUCUUUUUUUGUUUGUGUAGGUGCGUGGGAGUUUUGAGGAGCCUCCUACUCGAUUGAUACCUUGGUUCUCAAAAACUGAGGGAAAUACUUACGCUACUAUUGCUGCAUCACCCUUUCCUCUUCAAGGAAAACCAACGCAAGCUCAAGACGUUGCAAUAACUUGCUGUGUUA